GCGGUUAGCUCAGUCGGUAGAGCACCAGACUCUUAAUCUGGCUGUCGCGGGUUCGAGCCCCGCAUUGGGCU
rnacentral:tRNA from 1 species